GACGAACGCUGGCGGCGUGCCUAAUACAUGCAAGUCGAGCGAAUCUCAGGGAGCUUGCUCCCUGAGAUUAGCGGCGGACGGGUGAGUAACACGUGGGUAACCUGCCUGUAAGACUGGGAUAACUUCGGGAAACCGGAGCUAAUACCGGAUACUUUCUUUUCUCGCAUGAGGGAAGAUGGAAAGAUGGUUCUGCUAUCACUUACAGAUGGACCCGCGGCGCAUUAGCUAGUUGGUGAGGUAACGGCUCACCAAGGCAACGAUGCGUAGCCGACCUGAGAGGGUGAUCGGCCACACUGGGACUGAGACACGGCCCAGACUCCUACGGGAGGCAGCAGUAGGGAAUCUUCCGCAAUGGACGAAAGUCUGACGGAGCAACGCCGCGUGAGCGAAGAGGGCCUUCGGGUCGUAAAGCUCUGUUGUUAGGGAAGAACAAGUACGAGAGUAACUGCUCGUACCUUGACGGUACCUAACCAGAAAGCCACGGCUAACUACGUGCCAGCCGCCGCAGUAAGAC
rnacentral:rRNA from 1 species